UGUUCUUCUAUAUCUGGGACAUGAACCUCUUCAGACUGCUGCACAGGUAUUUAAAUUCAUUCACUCCCUCGUUGGGCCGCCGUAUUUCAUAAAAAUUUUGCUAUGAAUCCCAAAGGCGUUAUGAAUACUCUCUCACAGGGCAUGAUCAAUUGUAAGUUGACCGUACCAUGGAACAGGCCGGAAUGUUUGAUCACGAUGAGUGGUGAUUGAGAGGACUUUUCCGAAAGUAGCAAUAACACUUUUCAUGUUCCUUUAGGAUCAGGUCACCUUUGCCUCAAGAAGCACGCCUUCAUCACGUAAUGUUGAAAAACUGAUUACACAGACCAUGUACUUGCAAAAUCAACCUUAUGACCAGAUAUAGCAGUAAAUGAUUUCCCCUCGUUUUUAGCGGACCUAAACUAUAUGACAUAUUUCAGGAACGAAAUGUACAGCAAAAGAGAAAAAUGAAAACAGCAACAACGAUUUCGAGUUUGUGAAUGCUGUCGAGGAAAUGGAGAAAUCCAUUUUAGUUCCUCAAAGUUUACAUGACAUGGCACUGUCAAAAAGUGGCAGUAAUCCUGUUCCAUCAGGCAAUGGAAUCGCUUUAGAGAAAAGCCUUUAUGAAGCAUUCAAUGCGCUGAAAAAUGUGAAGAACGUUGUCCUAACAGGUCACUCCUUGGAUGAUAAAAGCGACGGGCACCCGAUCAGCAGUGAAUUGCAAUCUCUAACAAACUCCUUGGAGGUAAUGACUGACCUGGCCAACAACCUUACCGCCGAAUAUAAGAAAAACUUCAACCUUCUUUUCUGAAAACAGAUUAUUUCUAGGAUGACUGAGAGGAAACGGAACAUAAUGCCUUGGUGGCAAACGUUACGUAACUCAAUGUGGUUCAUUAUCAAGAAAAAGACAAAAUAGAAGCAGGAAAAUGUAAACAGUCAAAAAUUUUUGGAAAUAAUUGCUUCUUGUUUCAAAUUUUUUAACACUCGUUUUAUCUAAGGACUCAAGUUCUUCUUUUUCUUGAAACAAGGCGGGGCGUAGGCUGGCAGAGCGCCAGAAAAUUGUACCAUUUUUUUUUCUCUCUUUCCAAGGAGGAGGCUCUUUGAAUGAUCAGUCGACCCAAAUCAGAAUUGCAGCGAAGGAUCUUUCUAUAUAAACCCUUACCACUGCCAUUAUUUAUAUCGACCGAACAACGAAUACAGUAAUCUAAAAAUUCAAAUGAAUUUGGUCUCAAUAUGCACUUUAUUUUCAGUUUAUCAAUUCAAUGAGAAAAGGGGAAGACGUGAAUUUUAAAAAGAAAAAUUGUUAAUUAAAAUCUUUGCUUAUCAUGAUUAAAAAAAGUCUAAAACAUCUCCUAAGUAACUUCAUACACAUUAGCCAAGUCGUUCUGGAAUGGGAUUUGUGGGUUGUAAAACAUGCUCUCGUACAGCUGUGUUAGCGUAAAUUCCUGACUCAUCGUGCCAAGUGUUUGUUCCGUGUCGUCUGUAGUCGUCCACGUCGGUAAACUGGGAGUGGCACUUCCGCCAAAGUGCAGACUGAUCGGGCUCUGGAGGAGGAGUCUGGUGAGGAACCAGGAGAUAUUGAAAGACCAAACGCGAGAGAGAAAUUAUCACAAGUGUUGAUCACUGAUGAUUUUUACCUGGAAUUAGUUUUUUGAGUGUUUCUGUUUAGUUCUCUUGAAUCGAUUUCACAACA